GAUGAAGAACGCAGCGAAAUGCGAUACGUAAUGUGAAUUGCAAAUUCAGUGAAUCAUCGAGUCUUUGAACGCACAUUGCGCCCCCUGGUAUUCCGGGGGGCAUGCCUGCCCGAGCGUCAUUGCUGCCCUCAAGCACGGCUUGUGUGUUGGGCCCCGUCCUCCGAUUCCGGGGGACGGGCCCGAAAGGCAGCGGCGGCACCGCGUCCGGUCCUCGAGCGUAUGGGGCUUUGUCACCCGCUCUGUAGGCCCGGCCGGCGCUUGCCGAUCAACCCAAAUUUUUAUCCAGGUUGACCUCGGAUCAGGUAGGGAUACCCGCUGAACUUAAGCAUAUCAAUAAGCGGAGGA
rnacentral:misc_RNA from 1 species